ACUCUUCGCCUCCUCCGGCUCUCUCUCUCCGGUCUGUAACCUUCUUCUAGCUUCUCGCAAAUUUGUCCCGUCAAAGCUGUAAUCCAUGGUUUCCAAUGGCUAUCCUUGUUGUAUCUGGAUCAAGAGUCGUUUAUCGACCGUGGUUAAGCUUUUUAUCCACAAUAUCGCGCUUUGUUUGAAGCUCUCAAAUCCAACCCUAGACUAUAGUAAUUCCAUUUAUGCUUACAAAAUACCCGAAUUUCUGACCUAAACUCGCAAAUUUCAUUAUCCAAAACCUAACCCUAACUUUUUCUGCUAGCCGAUUCUACUCAACUGCCGCUGAUUUUGCGAUGUUAGUUCACAAACCUAAUUCCAGAAUGCCUUAGUGGAAGAACAUGGAGGUCAACAACGCCAUAAGACAAAGUCCAGAUUUAGAUUUUAAAACAUUAGAUGAUGAAUUCUUGGGCCUGCAAGAAAUCAGCGAGCUACGACAGUGAGAUGGAAUUGUUGGUGGCGGUGAGCGAAGCUGCCAUGAUCCGCAAGUCUUGACGUAACCCCCUUAGAACGUACAGGAUUCCAAAACCAGGGUCAUUCUGCUUAAGGGGCCAACAUCAGGGGGACUAUACAAGCUUCCGUUGUCAAACACACAGUUUGCGUUCGUCAGUUCCCGUGCCACACAAGACGUUUGGCAUCGAAGGUUGGGUCACCUGCACAGUGUUGUCCAGAACCGCAUCCUAAAAGACUGUCCAGUUUCACCAAAUAAAUCAAAGUCCUCGGAGUCGUGCCCGGCUUGUCACCGCGGCAAGUCGUCCCGGUUUAAAUUAGAUAGAAUUCAUAAAUCUAGCAUCAAUGUUUUAGAUUUAAUUUUCACCGAUGUAUGGGGCCCGGCUCCGGUAGUUUCCACUAGUGGUCAUCGCUACUUCUUACUUUUUGUAGACGAGUAUUCUCGGUUCUUUUGGUUUUAUCCGUUACGGGUAAAAUCAGAUGUUUAUAAAAGCUUUGAAUUGUUUCGGGUGUUGGUAGAGCGGCAAUUUUCCUGCUCUAUCAAGUGUAUCCAA